GACGAACGCUGGCGGCGUGCCUAAUACAUGCAAGUAGACGAACGGGUGAGUAACGCGUAGGUAACCUACCUCAUAGCGGGGGAUAACUAUUGGAAACGAUAGCUAAUACCGCAUAAGAGAGACUAACGCAUGUUAGUAAUUUAAAAGGGGCAAUUGCUCCACUAUGAGAUGGACCUGCGUUGUAUUAGCUAGUUGGUGAGGUAAAGGCUCACCAAGGCGACGAUACAUAGCCGACCUGAGAGGGUGAUCGGCCACACUGGGACUGAGACACGGCCCAGACUCCUACGGGAGGCAGCAGUAGGGAAUCUUCGGCAAUGGGGGCAACCCUGACCGAGCAACGCCGCGUGAGUGAAGAAGGUUUUCGGAUCGUAAAGCUCUGUUGUUAGAGAAGAAUGAUGGUGGGAGUGGAAAAUCCACCAAGUGACGGUAACUAACCAGAAAGGGACGGCUAACUACGUGCCAGC
rnacentral:rRNA from 1 species